rnacentral:rRNA from 1 species
UACGUAGGGGGCAAGCGUUGUUCGGAAUUACUGGGCGUAAAGGGCGCGUAGGCGGGAUGGCAAGUCGGUCGUGAAAUCCCUCGGCUCAACCGAGGAACGUCGAUCGAUACUGCUGUUCUUGAGGAUUGCAGAGGAGACUGGAAUUCCCGGUGUAGCGGUGAAAUGUGUAGAGAUCGGGAGGAACACCGGUGGCGAAGGCGGGUCUCUGGGCAAUUCCUGACGCUGAGGCGCGAAAGCGUGGGGAGCAAACGGG